CCUACGGGUGGCAGCAGUCGAGAAUCAUUCACAAUGGGGGAAACCCUGAUGGUGCGACGCCGCGUGGGGGAAUGAAGGUCUUCGGAUUGUAAACCCCUGUCAUGUGGGAGCAAAUUAAAAAGAUAGUACCACAAGAGGAAGAGACGGCUAACUCUGUGCCAGCAGCCGCGGUAAUACAGAGGUCUCAAGCGUUGUUCGGAAUCACUGGGCGUAAAGCGUGCGUAGGCUGUUUCGUAAGUCGUGUGUGAAAAGCGCGGGCUGAACCCGCGGACGGCACAUGAUUCUGCGAGACUAGAGUAAGGGAGGGGGAACCGGAAUUCUCGGGGUAGCAGUGAAAUGCGUAGAGAUCGAGAGGAACACUCGUGGCGAAGGCGGGUUCCUGGACAUUAACUGACGCUGAGGCACGAAGGCCAGGGGAGCGAAAGGGAUUAGAUACCCGAGUAGUC
rnacentral:rRNA from 1 species